GGGGUGCUCGAGUGGCGAACGGGUGAGUAACACGUGAGUAACCUGCCCUUGACUUUGGGAUAACUUCAGGAAACUGGGGCUAAUACCGGACAGGAGCUCCUGCUGCAUGGUGGGGGUUGGAAAGUUUCGGCGGUUGGGGAUGGACUCGCGGCUUAUCAGCUUGUUGGUGGGGUAGUGGCUUACCAAGGCUUUGACGGGUAGCCGGCCUGAGAGGGUGACCGGCCACAUUGGGACUGAGAUACGGCCCAG
rnacentral:rRNA from 1 species